GAGUAUCAUGCCCUUCGGGGUAGAUCUCCACCCUUGAAUAACAUACCUUUGUUGCUUUGGCAGGACGCACUCGUGCCAGGGGCUUCGGCUCUUGAGUGCCUGCCAGAGGACCACAACUCUAAUAAACCAGUCGUCUGAGAACAAACGAAAAAUACUUCAAAACUUUCAACAACGGAUCUCUUGGUUCU
rnacentral:misc_RNA from 1 species